rnacentral:rRNA from 1 species
UACGAAGGGGGCUAGCGUUGCUCGGAAUGACUGGGCGUAAAGGGCGCGUAGGCGGCUUGCACCGUCAGAUGUGAAAUUCCUGGGCUUAACCUGGGGGCUGCAUUUGAUACGUGUGGGCUUGAGUGCGGAAGAGGGUCGUGGAAUUCCCAGUGUAGAGGUGAAAUUCGUAGAUAUUGGGAAGAACACCGGUGGCGAAGGCGGCGACCUGGUCCGUGACUGACGCUGAGGCGCGAAAGCGUGGGGAGCAAACAGGAUUGAGAACCGUACGUACGAGACCAAG